AAAGCGUGCGCAGGCGGUUCGGAAAGAAGGAUGUGAAAUCCCAGGGCUUAACCUUGGAACUGCAUUCUUAACUACCGGGCUAGAGUAUGUCAGAGGGAGGUGGAAUUCCGCGUGUAGCAGUGAAAUGCGUAGAUAUGCGGAGGAACACCGAUGGCGAAGGCAGCCUCCUGGGAUAAUACUGACGCUCAUGCACGAAAGCGUGGGGAGCAAACAGGAUUAGAUACCCCAGU
rnacentral:rRNA from 1 species